rnacentral:rRNA from 1 species
AAUAAGCGGAGGAAAAGAAACCAACCGGGAUUGCCUCAGUAACGGCGAGUGAAGCGGCAAGAGCUCAAAUUUGAAAUCUAGCCCCCUCUCCUCACAGGGGCUCGAGUUGUAAUUUGGAGAGGAUGCUUCGGGCGUUGUCCCGGUCUAAGUACCCUGGAACGGGUCGUCAGAGAGGGUGAGAAUCCCGUCUGGGGCCGGUGAUGAUGUUCCUCUGCGAAGCUCCUUCGACGAGUCGAGUUGUUUGGGAAUGCAGCUCUAAGCGGGUGGUAAAUUCCAUCUAAGGCUAAAUACAGGCUGGAGACCGAUAGCGCACAAGUAGAGUGAUCGAAAGAUGAAAAGCACUUUGAAAAGAGAGUCAAAGAGUACGUGAAAUUGUUGAAAGGGAAGCGCUUGUGACCAGACUCGCCCGGGGAGACUCAGCCGGCACGUGUGCCGGGGCACUUCUGCCCGGGCGGGCCAGCGUCGGUUUGGAUGGUCUGUUAAAGACCCCUGGAAGGUAGCGUCUCUUCGGGGACGUCUUAUAGCCAAGGGUGCCCUAAGACCGGUCUGGACCGAGGACCGCGCUUCGGCUUGGAUGCUGGCGUAAUGGUCGCAAGCGGCCCGUCUUGAAACACGGACCAAGGAGUCUAACAUCUACGCGAGUGUUCGGGUGUCAACCCCGUCCGCGCAGUGAAAGCGAAUGGAGAUGGGAAGCCCCCCGGGGGGAUCCUUCCUCCCCCCGGGAGGGGUGCACCAUCGACCGAUCCUGAUGUCUUCGGAUGGAUUUGAGUAGGAGCGUAGCUGUUGGGACCCGAAAGAUGGUGAACUAUGCCUGGAUAGGGUGAAGCCAGAGGAAACUCUGGUGGAGGCUCGCAGCGGUUCUGACGUGCAAAUCGAUCGUCGAAUCUGGGUAUAGGGGCGAAAG